AAAGGUCCCUUGAGAUGUUAUUUAGUGCAAAAUAAACUAAAAUUAAUAAAAACAAAAAAAAAAUUCAAUCAUCUUAAAAUAAUUAGAAUAAAAUCGAACUGAAACUACCAUUAAUCCUAUUUAAUCAUUUCAAACUUUUUGAUAAAGAACAAAAAUAAAAAUACUAAAAUGAAUAAAAAUCAGAUGCAAAAAAUGUCUGGAAAAAUAACAUGAAUGCACUAAAAUG
rnacentral:lncRNA from 1 species